rnacentral:rRNA from 1 species
AACGAACGCUGGCGGCAGGCCUAACACAUGCAAGUCGAACGCUGCAGCAAUGCAGAGUGGCAGACGGGUGAGUAACGCGUGGGAACCUUCCCAAUGGUACGGAAUAGCCCAGGGAAACUUGGGGUAAUACCGUAUAAGCCCCAUGGGGGAAAGAUUUAUCGCCAUUGGAUGGGCCCGCGUCGGAUUAGCUAGUUGGUGAGGUAACGGCUCACCAAGGCGACGAUCCGUAGCUGGGUUGAGAGAAUGACCAGCCACACUGGGACUGAGACACGGCCCAGACUCCUACGGGAGGCAGCAGUGGGGAAUCUUGGACAAUGGGCGAAAGCCUGAUCCAGCCAUGCCGCGUGAGUGACGAAGGCCUUAGGGUUGUAAAGCUCUAUUGGCGAGGACGAUAAUGACGGUACCCGCAGAAUAAGUCCCGGCUAACUUCGUGCCAGCCGCCGCGGUAA